UCGAGCGGCGGACGGGUGAGUAACACGUGGGCAACCUACCCUUAAGACUGGGAUAACCGCGGGAAACCGUGGCUAAUACCGGAUAAUACUUUUAUACAACGGUAUAGAAGUUGAAAGGUGGAUUUCUAUCACUUAAGGAUGGGCCUGCGGCGCAUUAGCUGGUUGGUAAGGUAACGGCUUACCAAGGCGACGAUGCGUAGCCGACCUGAGAGGGUGAUCGGCCACACUGGAACUGAGACACGGUCCAG
rnacentral:rRNA from 1 species